rnacentral:rRNA from 1 species
AUACGGAGGGUGCGAGCGUUAAUCGGAAUUACUGGGCGUAAAGCGUGCGUAGGCGGUUUGCUAAGUCAGAUGUGAAAGCCCCGGGCUUAACCUGGGAACUGCAUUUGAUACUGGCAGACUAGAGUAUGAUAGAGGGGGGUAGAAUUCCUGGUGUAGCGGUGAAAUGCGUAGAUAUCAGGAGGAAUACCAGUGGCGAAGGCGGCCCCCUGGAUCAAUACUGACGCUCAGGUACGAAAGCGUGGGGAGCGAACAGGAUUAGAAACCCUAGUAGUCC